UCUCUUUUUCUCUCUCUUAGACUUAGGGCUUCUGUUUGUCCCACCGCUUCCGCCUGGGAAAACCUGGUCUUUAGAGCAGAAUUGGAACAAAUGACUAUCAUUUCCAGGGAUGAACAGAGGGUUUGUCGCUGAAGAGUGGGUUUUCCAGGGGAAAGCAGUGGGCCAAAACUGCUCAGAUCCAUGCCUAGAAAGUGGGGGACAAGUGAAAACCACUCAAGCCCAUGCUGUCUAAGCACGGGACAAGUGGAAAUGGGGACAAACCCUUAUUUCCUUACAGGCAGGGCUUUUGUUUUCAGCCGGAACUCGCCGGAACUCAGUUCUGCUACCUCUCAGGCAGGUGCCAUUGCCUUAUAAGAGAACGAGGGAGGUGCUCAUGUUAAUCUCCAAAGGGUCGUGCAUCCCCAGCAGGUUCUUAAAGCUGCACAACGUUGCAUUUAAAGCCAAGAGAAACUUCUCAGUCGAGAAGGAGACCAGAAAUUUGCCUGCCUUGGGUCUACUCCAACCAUGGCUAAGUCUGGAUCCAGUCCCAGGCCACAACCUAUUUUGAAAACAGGGUCAACUGAAAUAGUUUCUCCCACAGGUGACUGCCAGCAAAUUGCAAGGAGGGUGGGGAAUUGUGCUUCGUGAUGUCAGCAGCUUUAGUCACACUGCAGAGACAGUAUGUGCCAGAUGGAAACUACUGCCUUGUUCUCCUGCUUCUGCAUCCCUCAAAAACAAAAGCCACACAGCAAGGCAUGGCUUCAUUCAAAUUCUGCACCCCAUUGGAGACUGGCAUGAUGAUGACGCAGCAUGGCAAGAACCCGAAGCCCGAAGAGCAGGUUGCGCAAGAGGAAAGCUGGCAAUUCCCCUGCCUUGCAGUUGAUGUUCCUGCUCAACUGAGCUUUGGCUGAAACACCCUCUCAUGUUAACAUUUUUUAAAAACCUGUAAUAGUUUGUAGAUAAUGUUUGAGAGCCAAAUUG